GACGAACGCUGGCGGCGUGCUUAACACAUGCAAGUCGAACGGAAAGGCCUCUUUCGGGGGGUACUCGAGUGGCGAACGGGUGAGUAACACGUGAGUAACCUGCCCUUGACUUUGGGAUAACUUCAGGAAACUGGGGCUAAUACCGGAUAGGAGCUCCUGCUGCAUGGUGGGGGUUGGAAAGUUUCGGCGGUUGGGGAUGGACUCGCGGCUUAUCAGCUUGUUGGUGGGGUAGUGGCUUACCAAGGCUUUGACGGGUAGCCGGCCUGAGAGGGUGACCGGCCACAUUGGGACUGAGAUACGGCCCAGACUCCUACGGGAGGCAGCAGUGGGGAAUAUUGCACAAUGGGUGGAAGCCUGAUGCAGCAACGCCGUGUGCGGGAUAACGGCCUUCGGGUUGUAAACCGCUUUCGCUCAUGACGAAGCUUUGUGUGACGGUAGUGGGUAAAGAAGCACCGGCUAACUACGUG
rnacentral:rRNA from 1 species